rnacentral:tRNA from 1 species
GGAGGGCUAGCCUAACUGGCAAGGCACCGGUCUUGAAAAUCGGAGUCCUUUACGGGACUUGGGGGUUCGAGUCCCUCGCCCUCCGCCA